rnacentral:rRNA from 1 species
UACGUAGGGGCCGAGCGUUGUCCGGAGUUAUUGGGCGUAAAGCGCGCGCAGGCGGCCUCGCGCGCCCGACGUGAAAGCCCCCGGCCUAACCGGGGAGGGUCGUUGGGGACGGCGGGGCUUGAGGGCGGGAGAGGUCGGUGGAAUUCCCGGUGUAGUGGUGAAAUGCGUAGAGAUCGGGAGGAACACCUGUGGCGAAGGCGGCCGACUGGGCCGACCCUGACGCUGAGGCGCGAAGGCGUGGGGAGCGAACGGG